rnacentral:rRNA from 1 species
UACGUAGGGUGCAGGCGUUGUCCGGAAUUAUUGGGCGUAAAGAGCUCGUAGGCGGUUUGUCGCGUCUGCCGUGAAAGUCCGGGGCUCAACUCCGGAUCUGCGGUGGGUACGGGCAGACUAGAGUGAUGUAGGGGAGACUGGAAUUCCUGGUGUAGCGGUGAAAUGCGCAGAUAUCAGGAGGAACACCGAUGGCGAAGGCAGGUCUCUGGGCAUUAACUGACGCUGAGGAGCGAAAGCAUGGGGAGCGAACAGG